rnacentral:rRNA from 1 species
GACGAACGCUGGCGGCGUGCCUAAUACAUGCAAGUAGAACGCUGAAGGAGGAGCUUGCUCUUCUGGAUGAGUUGCGAACGGGUGAGUAACGCGUAGGUAACCUGCCUGGUAGCGGGGGAUAACUAUUGGAAACGAUAGCUAAUACCGCAUAACAGUAGAUGUUGCAUGACAUUUGCUUAAAAGGUGCAAUUGCACCACUACCAGAUGGACCUGCGUUGUAUUAGCUAGUUGGUGGGGUAACGGCUCACCAAGGCGACGAUACAUAGCCGACCUGAGAGGGUGAUCGGCCACACUGGGACUGAGACACGGCCCAGACUCCUACGGGAGGCAGCAGUAGGGAAUCUUCGGCAAUGACGGAAGUCUGACCGAGCAACGCCGCGUGAGUGAAGAAGGUUUUCGGAUCGUAAAGCUCUGUUGUAAGAGAAGAACGAGUGUGAGAGUGGAAAGUUCACACUGUGACGGUAUCUUACCAGAAAGGGACGGCUAACUACGUG